GGGAGGGUAGCGAAGAGGCUAAACGCGGCAGACUGUAAAUCUGCUACCUGAUGGUUUCGGCAGUUCGAAUCUGCCCCUUCCCACCA
rnacentral:tRNA from 1 species